rnacentral:rRNA from 1 species
UAGGGAAUCUUCCGCAAUGGGCGAAAGCCUGACGGAGCAACGCCGCGUGAGUGAUGAAGGUCUUCGGAUCGUAAAACUCUGUUAUUAGGGAAGAACAAAUGUGUAAGUAACUAUGCACGUCUUGACGGUACCUAAUCAGAAAGCCACGGCUAACUACGUGCCAGCAGCCGCGGUAAUACGUAGGUGGCAAGCGUUAUCCGGAAUUAUUGGGCGUAAAGCGCGCGUAGGCGGUUUUUUAAGUCUGAUGUGAAAGCCCACGGCUCAACCGUGGAGGGUCAUUGGAAACUGGGAAACUUGAGUGGAGAAGAGGGAAGUGGAAUUCCAUGUGGAGCGGUGAAAUGCGCAGAGAUAUGGAGGAACGCCAGUGGCGAAGGCGACUUUCUGGUCUGUAACUGACGCUGAUGUGCGAAAGGGUGGGGAUCAAACGGG